rnacentral:rRNA from 1 species
CAGUCGCCGCGGGAAUACGAAGGGUGCAGGCGUUAAUCGGAAUUACUGGGCGUAAAGCGUGCGUAGGCGGUGAGUUAAGUCUGCUGUGAAAUCCCCGGGCUCAACCUGGGAAUGGCAGUGGAUACUGGCUCGCUAGAGUGUGUCAGAGGAUGGUGGAAUUCCCGGUGUAGCGGUGAAAUGCGUAGAGAUCGGGAGGAACAUCAGUGGCGAAGGCGGCCAUCUGGGACAACACUGACACUGAGGCACGAAAGCGUGGGGAGCAAACAGGAUUAGAUACCCCUGUAGUCCCUGUCUCUUAUAC